rnacentral:rRNA from 1 species
CCUACGGGUGGCAGCAGUGAGGAAUAUUGGUCAAUGGGCUUACGCCUGAACCAGCCAAGUCGCGUGAGGGAAGACUGCCCUAUGGGUUGUAAACCUCUUUUGUCAGGGAGCAACUCCGGCUACGUGUAGCCGGACUGAGAGUACCUGAAGAAAAAGCAUCGGCGAACUCCGUGCCAGCAGCCGCGGUAAUACGGAGGAUGCGAGCGUUAUCCGGAUUUAUUGGGUUUAAAGGGAGCGUAGGCGGGUUGUUGAGUCAGUUGUGAAAGUUUGCGGCUUAACCGUAAAAUUGCAGUUGAAACUGGCAGUCUUGAGUACAGUAGAGGUGAGCGGAAUUCGUGGUGUAGCGGUGAAAUGCUUAGAUAUCACGAAGAACUCCGGUUGCGAAGGCAGUUCACUGGACUAAAACUGACGCUGAGGCUCGAAAGUGUGGGUAUCAAACAGGAUUAGAUACCCCUGUAGUC